rnacentral:rRNA from 1 species
UACGUAGGGUGCAAGCGUUAUUCGGAAUUACUGGGCGUAAAGCGUGCGUAGGCGGGGAUGUAAGACAGAUGUGAAAUCCCCGGGCUCAACCUGGGAACUGCAUUUGUGACUGCAUCGCUGGAGUGCGGCAGAGGGGGAUGGAAUUCCGCGUGUAGCAGUGAAAUGCGUAGAUAUGCGGAGGAACACCGAUGGCGAAGGCAAUCCCCUGGGCCUGCACUGACGCUCAUGCACGAAAGCGUGGGGAGCAAACAGG